UGGUGCUUAAUAUUAUUUAUGGUGCUAUUAAUAGAAUUUUAGUUACAUCUUUAAUAGGGCUUUAAAAUAAGUUUAUUUAAUUUGACUGAUAUUUCAUGGCAUAUAAAACUUGUUUUGAAAAAUCCAAAAAUCUUAAGUUAAUAGGUAAGACAUUUUGAUUGACUUUGCAUGGCAUAGAAACCAUGUAUUGUAAGACGUUUUGACUCACUGUGAGUUUGAAUAUAGUUUGACCUUUGCAUGGUAAACAAAUCACGUUUUGAAAAAAAAAACUAUCAAAAUUUAUUCAUAAACUUUAUUUUUUGCAUGGCAUAUAAAAAGAUCUUUUAACCUUUGCAUGGCAUAGAAAUCACAUUUUGAAAACCAAAAUAA
rnacentral:lncRNA from 1 species